rnacentral:rRNA from 1 species
GCCAGUGGCGAUAGCAUGUUAAAUGCACCAGUUCCCGAUGGGUAACUGAAAUUAAGCAACUUUGCACGUAGUUAGUAUCCGGACGGGUGAUCAUCUGGGCAAUCACAUGCUUCUGGAU